AAAAAGGCAAACCCUGGGUUUCCGUGUCCAACGUUUGACUGUCCGUCUUAUAUGAAAUUUUUUUAUAAUUAGUAUUUUUAUUAUUGUUAGAUAAUAAAACAUGAUUAAUACUUAAUGCGUGACUUGUCUUUUUAAUUUUUUCAAAUAAGACGGACGGUCAAACGUUGGACACGUAAACCCAUGGUUUAUCUUUUU
rnacentral:pre_miRNA from 1 species